CCUACGGGUGGCAGCAGUGGGGAAUAUUGGACAAUGGGGGGAACCCUGAUCCAGCCAUGCCGCGUGUGUGAAGAAGGCCCUCGGGUUGUAAAGCACUUUCAGUGAGGAAGAACGCCUGGUGGUUAAUACCCAUCAGGAAAGACAUCACUCACAGAAGAAGCACCGGCUAACUCCGUGCCAGCAGCCGCGGUAAUACGGAGGGUGCGAGCGUUAAUCGGAAUUACUGGGCGUAAAGCGCGCGUAGGUGGCUUGAUAAGCCGGUUGUGAAAGCCCCGGGCUCAACCUGGGAACGGCAUCCGGAACUGUCAAGCUAGAGUGCAGGAGAGGAAGGUAGAAUUCCCGGUGUAGCGGUGAAAUGCGUAGAGAUCGGGAGGAAUACCAGUGGCGAAGGCGGCCUUCUGGACUGACACUGACACUGAGGUGCGAAAGCGUGGGUAGCAAACAGGAUUAGAGACCCUGGUAGUC
rnacentral:rRNA from 1 species